rnacentral:rRNA from 1 species
AGUGAACGCUGGCGAUAGGCCUAACACAUGCAAGUCGAACGGCAGCACAGUAAGAGUUUGCUCUUACGGGUGGCGAGUGGCGGACGGGUGAGGAAUACAUCGGAAUCUACUUUUUCGUGGGGGAUAACGUAGGGAAACUUACGCUAAUACCGCAUACGACCUACGGGUGAAAGCAGGGGAUCUUCGGACCUUGCGCGAUUGAAUGAGCCGAUGUCGGAUUAGCUAGUUGGCGGGGUAAAGGCCCACCAAGGCGACGAUCCGUAGCUGGUCUGAGAGGAUGAGCCGCCACACUGGAACUGAGACGCGAUCCAGACUCCUACGGGAGGCAGCAGUGGGGAAUAUUGGACAAUGGGCCGAAGCUUGAUCCAGCAAUACCGCGUGCGUGAAGAAGGACUUCGGGUUGUAAAGCCCUUUUGUUGGGAAAGAAAAGCAGCAGGUUAAUACCCCGCUGUUCUGACGGUACCCAAAGAAUAAGCACCGGCUAACUUCGUG